AUUAUUUCGAUGUUAACCUUCAUAGGUUUUAGAGAUUUCGGAUUGUUGAUUCGGCGAAAAGUUUUAAUAACGUUUAUCAUCCCAUAACGGAUCCAAUAUCCAUAGAGAUGUAUAAUAUACAGGUAUAAACCAACCAAAGAUAAAUUGAUACCAAUAUACCUAAUGGUUUACUCUCGUGCCUUAUACACGGAAGGUAAGCUUGAGCAAU